CGAGCACACAAACCCAAAGGUCAUCUCUCCAUCAUGUCUUGCCCUUGCUAUGUGUGCGCAAAGCAAACGGAACCUUGUCGCCUUUCAUGGGCUGUGUGUUGACGUGCCUCUGGAAGUGAAUUCAAGGAGCCACAUCU
ensembl:snoRNA